rnacentral:rRNA from 1 species
AUUGAACGCUGGCGGCAUGCUUUACACAUGCAAGUCGAACGGUAACAGGCCUUCGGGUGCUGACGAGUGGCGAACGGGUGAGUAAUGCAUCGGAACGUGCCCAGAGGUGGGGGUUAACGCAGCGAAAGCUGUGCUAAUACCGCAUGUGAUCUGAGUAUGAAAGCGGGGGACCAAGCAGCAAUGUUUGGCCUCGCGCCUCUGGAUCGGCCGAUGUCAGAUUAGGUAGUUGGUGGGGUAAAGGCCUACCAAGCCGACGAUCUGUAGCUGGUCCGAGAGGACGACCGGCCACACUGGGAAUGAGACACGGACCAGACUACUAAGGGAGGGAGCAGUGGGGAAUUUUGGACAAUGGGCGCAAGCCCGAUCCAGCAAUGCCGCGUGCGGGAAGAAGGCCUUCGGGUUGUAAACCGCUUUUGUACGGAACGAAAAGGCUCUGGCUAAUACCUGGGGCUGAUGGCGGUACCGUAAGAAUAAGCACCGGCUAACUACGUG